rnacentral:ncRNA from 1 species
UUAAAUGGUGCCUGCUUUUGAGUGGGAUAAUCGGGAAAUCAGUGCGAUGCUGAUACUGCCCCCGCAACGGUGAAUGGUGAGUAAACAGUGCGUUUAGGCGUUAAUAACUGUUUACGUGCGUAAUAGCAGAACCUAAGUCCGGAGACCGGCCUUUAAAGC